GCCGCUAUAAACUCAGUGGCUAGAGCGUUGGUCUCUAAACAAAGGGGCAAUUCGAAUCUUGUUGGCGGCA